GGAGAUGACUUUUACAUAUAUUUUGUUGGUGCUGGAGAGUAGUAUACUGGUGGAGGAAGAUAGUAAUGGACUAGAGGUGGAGGAUAUUUAUAGAUAGAGGGUGGAGGAGAAGGGUACACUAGUGGUAGGGGAGAUUUAUAAACCGAAGGUGGAGGAGAGGGGUAAACUAGUGGUGGAGGAGAUUUAUAUAUGGGAGGAGGAGGAGAGGGGUACACUAGUAGUGGAGGAGAUUUGUAGACCAGGGGUGAAAGAGAGGGAUAGACAAGUGGUGGAGGAGGAGAGUAGUACGCAGGAGGACGAAGAGAGAUAAAUAAGCGACAAUGGAGAUUUAUAAAUGAGAUGGAU
rnacentral:lncRNA from 1 species